GAGGCAUCCUGUACUGAGGUGCCCAGAGAUGGGUGCACUUGCCCAGGCAAGGCAG
rnacentral:miRNA from 1 species